GACGAACGCUGGCGGCGUGCCUAAUACAUGCAAGUCGAGCGGAGCUUAUCCUUCGGGAUAAGCUUAGCGGCGGACGGGUGAGUAACACGUAGGCAACCUACCCCUCAGACUGGGAUAACUACCGGAAACGGUAGCUAAUACCGGAUAAUUCCUUUUCUCUCAUGAGGAAAGGAUGAAAGGCGGAGCAAUCUGCUACUAAGGGAUGGGCCUGCGGCGCAUUAGCUAGUUGGUGAGGUAACGGCUCACCAAGGCGACGAUGCGUAGCCGACCUGAGAGGGUGAACGGCCACACUGGGACUGAGACACGGCCCAGACUCCUACGGGAGGCAGCAGUAGGGAAUCUUCCGCAAUGGGCGAAAGCCUGACGGAGCAACGCCGCGUGAGUGAUGAAGGUUUUCGGAUCGUAAAGCUCUGUUGCCAGGGAAGAACGUCCGGUAGAGUAACUGCUACCGGAGUGACGGUACCUGAGAA
rnacentral:rRNA from 1 species